rnacentral:ncRNA from 1 species
GUGCUGUAUGAAAGGAGAGAAGGUUAACACUUCUCUUGACAAGGAUGGAAGAGACACCCUCGGGCCUGACAACAAGCUUACAGUUAAGGCAUUGCCACCCACUUCAUGGCAUCCAACUAUCAUUUUUA